CCAAUGUCCACAAAGAGAUCUUUAUUCCCAUGGCUGGCCACAAGAGUUUCCUGCACCAAUGCUUCACCCCAGAUGCCCUGCAGGGGCCUGCCUGACUCUGCAUUGUCUGGGGAAGCCUCUGAUGCUGGGAGGAGUCACCAGUGACCAGUUCAGCCAGUCCCAAUGGGGCACAAGAGCCGCAAUGUGAUGAAGAAUUGGGCCCUGGUGGUACUGAUAAUGUGUUCCUCAGAGCUUGAUUCAACAUUCCAGUCCCUUCAGGUCAAGGCUGAGAAAGUUCACAUCUCUCUGAUCUCCAAUGAGUCUUCUGGUACAACUAGGGAAGGCCAGACUUAACAUGCCUGAUAUUUCUGCAAAACACAAACAUGCUUCCCCCCACCUCAUGAACAACAAAGACAAAGCAACCAGCCUUCCCUGCUUUCUUUACACAUCAAGGAGAAACAAAAGAAAAAUGUGAUGGGGUGUAGAAACCCCACAUUGGGUUAAUGACAGGCCAUGGGUGCAAUCAGCCCUGCCCUGUUAUGCCUGUAGUAGGUGUCAAGGCUGGAGGGAGGAGCUAAAAGGGCUGAAUCUGGCUUAGUUGAGAACUGGCUAGGGAAGGAGAGUAGCAGCAUGUGCUACGGACCUGCGGGAUCGGUCGACGCUACGCACGGCUCAUGCGGCGCUUCAUGGUCUGAGACACCAUCCGAUGGUCCAGGGACAUCUACAUCGAGAACAUCACCGACCACCGACAGUACCAGGAGGCGUGAGCCAGAGUGACAUCGUUCUCCCACUACGAGAAAGGGACCAAAUGACCUUCUCCGUUGGAUCAUAUGAACUGGAACCAUAAACUCCCUGAACAUUAAAUCUCACCAAAUGAGGGUCAAUCCAUCCUCCUCAUCAUAUCCACUCAUUAUACUCCACACCCGAACAUAGCCACUCUAUGAACUUCAUACCCUUAUAUCUCAAUGCCUGUACUUUGACCCAUCAACCUUUUAGCCCCAGUCGGGGAUAUUGCAGAUUAUGUAUUCCUUAUGCCACCUGAUCUUAAACCAAAUUUUGCACCCUCGAUAAUCUGUACGUUUAUCCCUGAUAACCAGAAACUUCUAUGCUCAAACUCUGUUCACUUUUUUUUUUUAACAUCAUAUUAAUAAAAUUUGUAUUCUGGCUCUUGCUCAGAGAACAAAGGCUGGCUGGAGCCAGGGAGCUGAGUUAGGCCGCUGGUGGACAGAACCUCCUUGAAGGAAGGUACUGUUUCAUUAGCACAGAGCGCAGAUGAAUGCACAUUAAGUUGAACGAGUGGAACUGUAUUAAACCCUGAGCACUGCCUACUCCUCACAUUCCCUGUUUCCACUGGUGUCCUAUCAAUAGCAGUCCCUCCAGGGCAUAUGGGUCCUUGACUCCAAUUCCAAUUCUCAUGUUAUAGGUAUAUCUGUAACUGGGAGCCUCAGGCAGUGGGGAAGAAAAGUGGAAGGAAGUGAAUUGGCCCAGGAUUCUCCAUGCUGGUGGAGAGGCCCUGGGGAUCAGGGAGAUUCCUGCUGGGCCAGGGACUGCCCUGUGAGGGCAGUAGAGAAACUCUCCUGCAGCAAAACCAGCUGGGCAGUGGAGAGUGCUAAGAAACUCUGCAGUGAGCCUGGGGGAGAGGCUUAGAGACAGUGUUGCUGAGACACAAUGAGCUGGGUAAGAGGCUGUGGGAAAGGCUAAAACUAGUGAAGGCUAAAACUAGUGGUCCAGGAAGGCAGCAAGGGGUCUGCAUUUAGUGGUCUUGGUUACCU